rnacentral:rRNA from 1 species
GAUGAACGCUGGCGGCGUGCCUAAUACAUGCAAGUCGAGCGAAGCGGGGACGGGUGAGUAACACGUGGAUAACCUCCUAUAAGACUGGGAUAACUUCGGGAAACCGGAGCUAAACCGGAUCCUUAUAGAUGGUUCCACGCUGCAUUAGUUAGUUGGUAAGAUAACGGCUUACCAAGGCAACGAUGCAUAGCCGAACUGAGAGGGUGAUCGGCAACACUGGAGAUGGGAAACGGACCAGACUCCUACGGGAGGCAGCAGUCGGGAAUCUUCCGCACUGGGCGAAAGCCUGACGGAGCAACUCCGCGUGAGUGAUGAACGUCUUCGGAUCGUAAAACUCUGUUAUUAGGGAAGCGGUACCUAAUCAGAAAGCCACGGCUAACUACGUGCCAGCAGCCGCGGUAAUUC